rnacentral:rRNA from 1 species
GUCAACUGCCAUACCACCCUGAAUGUGUCCGAUCUCGUCUGAUCUCGGAAGCUAAGCAGGGUCAGCCUGGUUAGUACUUGGAUGGGAGACAAUGAGAGACACUGUUCUGCAGCUCCCU